UACGUAGGGGGCUAGCGUUGUCCGGAAUCAUUGGGCGUAAAGAGCGUGUAGGCGGCCCGGUAAGUCCGCUGUAAAAGUCAAAGGCUCAACCUUUGAAUGUCAGUGGAUACUGCCGGGCUAGAGUCCGGAAGAGGCGAGUGGAACUCCUGGUGUAGCGGUGGAAUGCGCAGAUAUCAGGAAGAACACCAAUGGCGAAGGCAGCUCGCUGGGACGGUACUGACGCUGAGACGCGAAAGCGUGGGGAGCAAACAGG
rnacentral:rRNA from 1 species